UCCUGGGGGGCGGCUGCGGCUUGUGUUACAGAGUUGAACUCUUCUGCUGUUCUCAGAUGGGAGAAAUGACUUCACUGUCUCUGCAUAAGAUCAGGAAGAAAAAAAAACCAAAGCUAUGCAGAAACACAAACUGCAGAUCUCCUCCGGCAUUUGGCAGCGAUUCCCUCAGCAUGAGCAGCAGAUGCUAAAUCAUUUCAGAAGAGGGAGGGAUACAAGACCUUAGGUACAUUGUGGAGGUUAAAGCCCUCAGUGAGCUGCUCCUGCCUGCCUGCCUCAUCAUCAUCACAUCUGUGCUUGAUCACUGUUCUGGAGCUUCCGGCAAUUGGUGCUGCAGUUCGUGGCAGUGCUGCUCCAAGAAGCAAGGACUGCAAUGUGCACAGGAGAAAUUCUGCUAUUUUGCAGCUCUAAUAGCAAUUUUAGUCUGCUGCUGAAGACAGCAGCAUUGAAGUCAUUCAACUGCGAAUUUCAGAAGAGAUGUUUCUUUGGUUUAAAGCAUCUUCCUGAAUAGGAUAACCAGACACAGGUUAUUCCAAGUUCUCCAGUGACAGAAUUUUUAAAGUGCUGGUUAACGGCUGGGAAGAUCACAGGGAUCAGGCAGCAGGCCUAAUGCCCGGCUCCUAUUUGUCAUCGUGCCUGUCUGGGCUGGCACUGUUGGCUGCAGCCUGCAACGGGCAGGGUCUGUGCCGGAGCAAAGUACGGGGUGCUGGCUGCUGACCACCUACAGCCACUCCUCCCCAACUCUGGAAGGAGACCACCUGGAAACGCCAUCACAUUCCAACAGCGAGCUUUCCUCUAACACACAGCCUCUCCCUAACCACUGCUGCAUCUCACAGCUCUCUUCUGAGAGCUCUCCAGUACCGCCGUCGCGCUCGGGUUCUGAGCAGGAAUAAAAGCAACCCUCAGGGCUGUCACUGGCCCCGCUGGGGA